GACGAACGCUGGCGGCGUGCUUAACACAUGCAAGUCGAACGGAAAGGCCCUGCUUUUGUGGGGUGCUCGAGUGGCGAACGGGUGAGUAACACGUGAGUAACCUGCCCUUGACUUUGGGAUAACUUCAGGAAACUGGGGCUAAUACCGGAUAGGAGCUCCUGCUGCAUGGUGGGGGUUGGAAAGUUUCGGCGGUUGGGGAUGGACUCGCGGCUUAUCAGCUUGUUGGUGGGGUAGUGGCCUACCAAGGCUUUGACGGGUAGCCGGCCUGAGAGGGUGACCGGCCACAUUGGGACUGAGAUACGGCCCAGACUCCUACGGGAGGCAGCAGUGGGGAAUAUUGCACAAUGGGCGGAAGCCUGAUGCAGCAACGUCGCGUGCGGGAUGACGGCCUUCGGGUUGUAAACCGCUUUCGCCUGUGACGAAGCGUGAGUGACGGUAAUGGGUAAAGAAGCACCGGCUAACUACGUG
rnacentral:rRNA from 1 species